UUCGCGUCCUCUCGCGCAGCCGUUGCCGCCUCGGGGAGGCGCCGUCGCGGGCCUGAGGGGAGUCCCCGCCGCCGGCUGCUGGAGGGGAGGCGGGCAGCGAGCUCCUCAAAUAACACCCCCCACCACCAGCCGUCCGCGUGUCGGAGGGUCGGCGCGGGUGGGUGCUGGGGGGGGGGCCGGGCCGUUGGGAGCCCGGGGCGGGCAGACAGCCCGAGUGCUGCCUGUGGAGAAGGGCCGUUUAGCGAAAGACGUGACCGCGGCGCUCAGCUGUGGUGAGGAGGGACCUGAACCAGAAGACCCGCUGAUAGCAAACUCAGCUGGGCAGGGGCCGUGCUUAUCUUUGUGCUUGUAGAGCCACAUUCACAAGAAUGCUCGAUACACCAUCCUCCCGCUGUUCCAAUGCUAAAUAAGAAAAACACAUCUUCGGUCUAAAUUCCAGAUGUGGUACAAGUCCGGAUGAAGAAAUGAGAGGCUGGAGAAGGGGGAAAACAGGUCUAAAUCGGUACUGUCGGUACGCUUAGGGUAGACACUGGUGUAUAGUGGUAAUGACAACAAAGUUGCCUUUCAACCACAAGUUAAAUAAGGAUAGUGGCUAUGUCUGAUUUUUGCUUGAGGGGAGGGUGCCGGCAGAAUGGUCUAGAAUAAGAAGGGCAUCACAUGCAUAGCUAGUGGCACAGAAAAGAACCUUGUAGAUGAAAUAAAUGGCAAGCAGGAGCAGAAGUGGCAAUCAGAGAAGGCUAAAGAGAAGAUGGAGGUGAAGUAAUACGAACUUAGAAGAGAUACGAAAGAGAGAGAGAUUAUGCAAGGCCUGGAAAUUGUUGACCUAGGUAAAUAAUUUUACCUGCUGCAUUGCAGAUGGACUAGAGCAAAGCAAACAGGGAAUCCAACCAGCAUUAGUGCAAUAUUUUCCAUAAAUGGUUACAAGAAUAUUAGCUAUUGGGCCAAUUAGAGUGCAGCCUAGAAUUUUCCUCAAGUCUCAGCAGGCUUCAGAAAUGUGCCAUAUUACUGAUCACAUAAUAAUAGUGCCUGUGCUUGUUAACUCAAAUACACCACAUAAAUGGGAAGAAAGAGCUCUUCACUGUCCCACAUCAUGGUUUCUAGUAGUGAGCUCUUCACUGUCCCACAUUAUGGUUUCUAGUAGUGUGGGUCUUCACAACAAGCACCAAAGGCAUUGCUAAAGUAUUUGCAUAUAUCCUAUUAAAAAUCUGUGGUAAAAUUAUGUCCCACUCGAAAGGAUGUAUAAGAUUUUUGAAAUGUUAUUAUUUUUACUGCUUAUAGUGUUCAUAUCACUGUGGUUCUAGAAGAUUUACAAAGCAGAAGAGCUUAUAGAAGAAGGCAGCAACUUUCAGUUCAGUAAGAAAUAGCUGAGAGGCUAUUAAAACAUGUUUCCCAAAAGCGGUCAGGAUUAGUGCAAGAUGUAUAAAUACAAACAUAUAAAAUGCUUUUUUACAAUGCAUUGAAUGGAAACUGCUUGCUAUUUAGUUAUAUUACCAUAGUUCUGUACACCAUGUAUUAGGGUACAGUCACAUUCUGCCUCCAGAUACACACUCUCUACUUAAAAAGAGGCAGUGUUCACAUAGGUAAUUAUCCUGAUACAAAGCAAAACAUAAAUGUGCGGUGCUAUGUGACCAGUAGCCCCCAAAAUGGCCACUUCUACUCUGAAUGAGAAUGUUUGCGAGGAUAUAAAUUUACACCCUGUUUCCCGUUUAUUGGUUAUGGGGCAACCAUGCAUAAGAAGAGGUGGAUGUAAUAGAGAGUAUCUUGUCAUUUAAUCCUGGGCAGAUUGCACAGCUAUUUACUGAAUCCAACCUUGCAUAUAAGUUUCUGAAAAAUCCAAAGUCAUGCAUGAGUAUUUGCUUAGAUCGACACAUUUUGGUGCAAUGUUUAUGGUGUGCGGUUUGAAAAAGUUUCAGAGCCGCCUUCUGAAAGUUUGUUGAACGAAGCAAAAGGUUUGUUCUACCUUUGUUCAGUGUUGAACCAUUGAUGUUACUUAGUAAAUCAUUAAUUCUACUUUACAUAUAUAAAUUGUGGAGUUUAAAAUAUUUUUUCCUCUUAGGAAUGGAAAACAAAGUACCUGUCAUAUAGCAUUAGAAGCAGAUGAAAAAUCAAACAUCUGCUUUUUGUGAUAAUGGACUAAAUUUUGCCUUACGUUGCACUUACUCUUGCUAUGAACUUUUCCUUGAACUGUCAUAGGAUUUCAGAAGUCCCACCAGGAGAUGGGUAGUGUUCUAAUGUUACCAUAUCUUUAAUUAAAAGUGAAAAGAAGAAAGGAUUAAUGACCUUGAAACACAAGUGUUUUGCAAUAGAUCCUUCUCCUAACUAUGCUGUGUUUUUACUGCUUCUGAUUUUAAAAUAAUAAACAACUGAAACUUAA